AGUGAUAGACCUUGAAUAAAAUACCGUGUCUGUUUCGAUUGGUGGUGAAUGAAAAUAGUAAAUGCUGGAAUUGUUGUUGAUUAAUUGUGUGGUGUAAAUUGUCGACGAGAUUGACGCGAGAAUUGUCGAUGGGAAAAUUUGGGCGUUCGUUUACAAUGUACUUGGAAUAACACCAAAGUACUAAAAUAAUAAAACACCACAAUUUAAUCAAUGUACUAAAAUUAUAUAUAUUUGGGCCUAUCACUUUUGUCUAUUUAUUUUCUUUUAGCCCAUUUAUCCUUAUUCAAUUGGGCCACUUUUAAUAUAACCAUUUAUUAUAAUUCCUAUUGAAUUCCUGCAACAUAAAUCCCUCCUUCUAAACCCACGUUUUUUUUUCCCAUCAAUAUCUCCACCCACAAAAUUCUCUCCAACAAACAAAUCUAAUCUCUGCAUUAUAUUUAUCUCCCCACAACUGCAUCUUUUAUCAGCCGUUUCAUAAUUUCCAAUGCAGUUUUCUCCCUUCCAACAAAGGUAUAAUCUUCCACUUCAAUUCAGUGUAUACAACUCUCUGGAUAUUAAACCCAUAGCACCAUAUUUUUUUUUCUUGUCACAGUUGAGAGGAAAAAAUCGAGCAGCCUGUGAAUCCAAAUCCCCCCUGCAAAUCUCAAUUUGUUUUCCUCUUUCCAAAGGGUGAACUUGUGCACGUUGUUGCGGUUUGGAACAGAAAGUGUUGAGGAGUUAAGCAUUUGAGAUUGAGCGGCGAUGGACGACGAGGAUGUUGAGCAGAGUUCAUGGAUCGUUUUGUCAUGAUUAAUAAUUGUUGGAUUUGUCGUGUCUUCAUACUCGGCAUUUUCCGUGUCUUGAACGCUUCCGCUAAGAGUCAUUUUCUUUAGAAUUGUUUAUCCGUGGAGAGUCUAACUCGUUGACAAAUUGUUUUUGUCCAUUCUUUUUCUUAGAUUUGGUAUUAUUGUUAGGAUAAUAAUAUGACGUUUUCAAAGUUAAUUCAGUUAGUAAAUUUUUGGUCAAA